CCCUUAGAUGUCCUGGGCCGCACGCGCGCUACACUGAGUGUCUGAGAUAUGAGGCAUGCCUGGUCCGGCAAGGUCUAGGUAAUCACGAAAAGGCACAUCAUGCUUGGGAUUGAUUAUUGCAAAUUUUAAUCAUGAACGAGGAAUUCCUAGUAAGUGCAAGUCAACAGCUUGCAUUGAUUACGUCCCUGCCCUUUGUACACACCGCCCGUCGCACCUACCGAUUGAAUGGUCCGGUGAAAUCUUCGGAUUGAGACUUUGAUUUCUUCACGGAAAACGCUGUUUUAAAAAGUUGAUUAAACCUUACCAUUUAGAGGAAGGUGAAGUCGUAACA
rnacentral:rRNA from 1 species